rnacentral:Y_RNA from 1 species
UGCUGGUCUGGGUACAGUGGUGUUUAUGACUAAUUGAUCACAACCAAUUAUAGAUUUCUUUGUUCUCCUCUCCCACUGCUUCACUUAACUAUAAA